ensembl:snoRNA
AAGACUCUACUUUCAGGGAUCAUUUCUUUAGUUUGGAACUAGAGGAUUGUGUUUCUACAGAGGUUGGUCUUGCUGUCCAUGAUGAUGAAUGAAGAUGUUUCCUUCAGAGCAGGAAGCCGGUGAGAAGAUGAGAAUCUUCUUCACUGAUGAAGACUGUUCAGUGUUUCUGGAUGUGACACUGAAGGAGGAAACAUUGUCUGAGUGGAC